rnacentral:rRNA from 1 species
GGUGAGUAUAAUGUGGGAAUCUGCCUUUUGGUCUGGAAUAACACGAGGAAACUUGUGCUAAUACCGGAUAAGCCUUCACAGGGAAAGUUUUAAUGCCAAAAGAUGAGCCCGCACUUGAUUAGCUAGUUGGUAAGGUAAUAGCUUACCAAGGCAACGAUCAAUAGCUGUUCUUAGAGGAAGACCAGCCACAUUGGGACUGAGACACGGCCCAAACUCCUACGGGAGGCAGCAGUGGGGAAUCUUGCACAAUGGGGGAAACCCUGAUGCAGCGAUGCCGCGUGAGUGAAGAAGGCCUUUGGGUUGUAAAACUCUUUCGUCGGGGAAGAAAAUGACUGUACCCGAAUAAGAAGGUCCGGCUAACUUCGUGCCAGCAGCCGCGGUAAUACGAAGGGACCUAGCGUAGUUCGGAAUUACUGGGCUUAAAGAGUUCGUAGGUGGUUAAAAAAGUUGAUGGUGAAAUCCCAAGGCUCAACCUUGGAACUGCCAUCAAAACUUUUUAGCUAGAGUAUGAUA